GGUCGGUGGGCGGGAACGUGACGGCGGCUUGGAAGGAGGACGUGAGUCUAGCGUGUGGCGCCGUGGGUGUGCCGGAGCCUGACCUAACCUGGACCCACCAGAGGAAGCUGAUCCCUGCCACCCAUGACAGGUUCCGGGUACAGCCAGACGGGACUCUCACCUUGGCAGACAUACAGAGAAGGACAGCGGGCCACUACUCCUGUACCGCCACCAACCACCACGGCAGUGACGCUGUCACCUACAACCUUACCGUGCUAGUGCUCCGUCAGCACCUUCCCUCCACGUGACGGAGACCACCGCCUCCUCCAUCAGGGUCCAGUGGAGUGUGGAGGA